UUGGAUCUCGACGGCGACGGCAUCCAACGAACACAAGGUCGCUCCCAACCAACAAGUUUUUUUUCUUCCAAGUUAAUAAUGUGGAUUGUGACGUUUAUCUGUGCACUGAUUUUCAGAGUGGAUGGCUGUACCAUUUAAUUUUGAUUACUAGCACUAGUAGUUGCAUUCAGUGUGAGCUGGAAGACUAACUGAUUCAGUUUUCGAUGCCAUCUUUGCUGUUCUGGUUGUGUUUGCACAGCUCACUUGUUGUCAGUGCACUUCUCUUACACAUAUUUGUUUGUUGGGGUUUAAUUUCUAGAAUCAUGUCUCUAAUUGCAUUCGUAAAUUUCUAGCCUUAAUUCUUUUUUUGUUAUGGUCAGCAAGUAUGCCGACGGUCUAACCAUCGGCGUAGCUAUGCGCCAGGCCUGCCCAGCAGCUGACAUGUGGCACUGCUAGGCCGACGGUUAGACCGUCGGCAUAAGUUCUAGAGCUAUGCCGACGGCUUUACCAUCGGGAUACCUGUGCAACGUGUCAGCACAUGGUUGGCUCGGUUUUGACGGCGGAGCCGUUAGGCGGAAAAUUUUGCCGACGGUGCAUGUGUGCCGACGGUGGUACGGACGCCAUCGGCAUAGCGGCCUAUACCGAUGGCUUUGCUAUGCUGACGGCCGCCCUGGGAUAUGCCGACGUACGAGUUGCCGACGGGGCUAUGCCGAUGGUGGCCGUCGGCAUAGGCCUAUGCCGACGGCCCUGGGCCGUCGGCAACGUAGCUUAUUCUGGUAGUGACGGGGCGUCUUUGGAUGUGGAGGAGGUCCGACCAGAGAAGCGGCAUGUUUGAUGUAUCUAAAUAUGUCUUUGUUAACAAUUUUAUUUGGUAACUAUUAUUUAUGUUUGUUACUUCCAUCCUGAUGCCUCCAGACCAAAAUUAACGAGCUUUACAUACUGGUUUGCUCACUUUUCUUUGUAGAGCAGUCCAACUCAUUACCAUCUUAUGUAGUAUCUCUUAUAUUUGUGCCUUGUAUCCUUAGUAGAGCUCAAUCAUUGAUCUGCUUAUAUCUCCCAUCCCCUAGUCUUUGAUCCUUAUGUUUUAAUGGUUCAAAUUCACAUCGGGGAUCAUUACCUUGACCAAUCUCAGUGACACACUCGAGGAAGAUAAAAUUAUGAUGGACCGUAUAGCGUUAGGCAUAAUAUACCAUUGUUUUUCUGUGAUUCCAAAGAUGUUAGCUACUACUCCUUCCGACUAAAGUUGUACUAAACUAACGACAAGUCUCAAAAUCUUAGUUCAAGUUUCAGAACUCAAGAGGUAUCCUAUACUCUUGAAACUUUUAUUAGGAGGUGCUCUCUUUAAAUACAUGCUUUUGCUCUACCCCCUUUUACUAGCAAUUCGAUGGUGCUGCUUGAAUAUUUUGUUCCUAAUGCAUGCAACACAAUACAUCCCUUAUCUGCAUAGAUCUGCUUGUUCUUGAAUCGGUUCAAAUAUUAUGAUGCUGAUUUGGUUCCUUCUACUUCUACAGGUUUGAAUACUAUGGUCAGAUUUUUUCCCCAAGAAUCCACAAGUUUUGCUGGUCUUGAAGAAUGUAUUAAGUUCAUUGCAAACUUAAAGUUCAAAGAAGAUAUGCAAGGAAGGGCGCCGCCUCUCCCUCACCGUCCAUUGUCUCAAGACACGACGUCGUCAGCAGCACCUGCUAUCUAUAUAUAUGAACUACCUAUCAUCUUUAGCUAAUCUCUAGAACAUCGCCAUCAGCAGCACCUGCUAUCUAUAUAUAUGAACUCUACUUUUCUUUGAAGAUCGUUUUUCUUUUGGAGCAUGUUAGUCUUUGAUUUCAAUUCAAUGUUGUGCUCUAUCAUCCACCUUGUAAGAUUGUGACCUACUAUCUUAUAAUAUGCACCUAUUACCUUGCUAUGUCUCUUGAAUGAACACUUUUCUCUAAGUUUUUGUGAUUUGUACCCUGGCCUGCAUAUGCACGUGCACAGCUGCACAGCCAAGGCAAGUGCGCACAAGAACGCACAGGAGGCGCGCCCAGGGCGCGCCCCACCUACUAGUAUGCAAAGAAGAAGAGACGACUAUGCGCUUGUUUGGACUCAAAAUCGAACAGAACCUACCGUGACUUGCCAAACAAGCAACCCCACGACCCCACCCCAUGACUCGUCGGAUCCUUUUGAGCGUAGCCGUUGGAUCCAGUCAACGCAAAACUGGCUGCCACAUCAACGCAGCCCCACACGAGGAGCUCCCCUGAAGCACCCCGAUUCAUUGUCAUCUCCACCACAACAUUGAGAUAAAUGGAUCUUUAAGAAGAAGACGGACGUGGGCGGUAAUUUUACCGUCUAUGAAGCUCGACUUGUGGCAAAAAGGUUUUUCACAAGUUCAAGGAGUUGACUACGAUGAGAUUUUCUCACCCGUAGCGAUGCUUAAGUCUGUCGGAAUCAUGUUAGCAUUAGCUGUAUUUUUCGAUUAUGAAAUCUGACAGAUGGAUGUCAAAACAAGUUUUCUUACCAGUUUUCGUAAGAAAAGUUGUAUGUGAUACAAUAAAAGGUUUUGUCGAUCCUAAGGAUGCUAAAAGGUAUGCUGGCUCCAGCAAUCCUUCUAUGGACUAGAGCAAGUAUCUUGGAAUCGGAAUAUAUGUUUUGAUGGAGUGAUCAAAGCUUUUAGGUUUAUACAAUGUUUGCUAGAAACUUGUAUUUACAAGAAAGUGAGUGGGAGCACUACAACAUUUCUGAUAAGUAUAUGUGGAUGACAUAUUGUUGAUCCGAAAUAAUGUAGAAUUUCUGGAAAGCAUAAAUGGUUGUUUGAAGAGUGUUUUUCAAAGGAAGACCUGGAUAAAGCUGCUUACAUAUUGGGCAUCAAGAUCUAUAGAGAUAGAUCAAAACGCCUGAGGAUACUUUCAAAGAACGCACACCUUGACAUGUUUUUUGAAGGAGUUCAAAAUAGAUCAGUCAAAGAAGGGGUUCUUACCUGAGUUGUAAGGUGUGAAGUUGAGUAAGACUCAAAGAUUGACCACGGCAGAAGAAAGAGGGAGGACGAAGGUCGUCCCCUAUGCUCUUGUCAUAGGCCCUAUACGGUAUGCCAUGCUGAGUACAACACCUGAUGUGCGCCUUGACACAUGUCUGGCAAGAGGGUACAAAGGUGAUCUAGGACUGGAUCGCCAGAUAGCAGUCAAAAUUAUCCUUAGAGGAAUAAGGAAAUGUUUCUCGGUUAUGGAGGUGAUAAAGAGUUCGACAUAAAGAGUUACGUCGAUGCAAGCUUAACACCUGUCCGGAUAGCUCUGAGUAGAGAUACCGGAUACGUAUAAUGGAGCAAUAAUUUGGAAUAGCUCCAAAUAGAACGUGGUAGCAGCAUCUACGAUAUAAAGUUUUGCGAAAUAUAUAGGGAUCUGAAUAUGGCAAGACCCGUUGACUACAACCUCUCUCACAAGCAUAACAUGAUCAAACCCAGAACUCUUUGAGGGUUUAUCACAUAGUGAUGUGAACUAGAUCAUUGAGUCUAGUAGACUCUAGGAUGUUGGUCACAUGGCGAUGUGACCUGUGAGUGUUAAUCACAUGGCGAUGUGAACUAGAUUAUUGACUCUAGUGCAAGUGGGAGACUGUUGAAAAUAUGCCCUGGAGGCAAUAAUAAAUUAGUUAUUAUUAUUAUAUUUCAUUGUUCAUGAUAAUCGUUUAUUAUCCAUACUAGAAUUGUAUUGAUAGGAAACUCAGAUACAUGUGUGGAUACAUAGACAACACCAUGUCCCUAGUAAGCCUCUAGUUGACUAGCUCGUUGAUCAAUAGAUGGUUACGGUUUCCUGACCAUGGACAUUGUAUGUCGUUGAUAAUGGGAUCACAUCAUUAGGAGAAUGACUUGAUGGACAAGACCCAAUCCUAAGCCUAGCACAAGAUCGUGUAGUUCGUUUGCUAAAGCUUUUCUAAUGUCAAGUAUCAUUUCCUUAGACCAUGAGAUUGUGCAAAUCCCGGAUACCGUAGGAGUGCUUUGGGUGUGCCAAACGUCACAACAUAACAGGGUGGCUAUAAAUGUACACUACAGGUAUCUCCGAAAGUAUCUGUUGGGUUGGCACGAAUCGAGACUGGGAUUUCUCACUCCAUGUAAACGGAGAGGUAUCUCUGGGCCCACUCGGUAGGACAUCAUCAUAAUGUGCACAAUGUGACCAAGGAGUUGAUCACGGGAUGAUGUGUUACGGAACGAGUAAAGAGACUUGCCGGUAACGAGAUUGAACAAGGUAUCGGGAUACCGACGAUCGAAUCUCGGGCAAGUAUCGUACCGCUAGACAAAGGGAAUUGUAUACGGAUUGAUUGAAUCCUCGACAUCGUGGUUCAUCCGAUGAGAUCAUCGUGGAGCAUGUGGGAGCCAACAUGGGUAUCCAGAUCCCGCUGUUGGUUAUUGACCGGAGAGUCGUCUCGGUCAUGUCUGCAUGUCUCCCGAACCCGUAGGGUCUACACACUGAAGGUUCGGUGACGCUAGGGUUGUUAGGAAGACUUAUAUGUGAUUACCGAAUGUUGUUCGGAGUCCCGGAUGAGAUCCCGGACGUCACGAAGAGUUCCCGAAUGGUCCGGAGGUGAAGAUUUAUAUGUAGGAAGUUGUCAUACGGUCACCGGAAAGGUUCGGGGGCAUAUCGGUAUUGUACCGGGGCCACCGGAGGGGUUCCGAGGGUCCACCGGGAGGGGCCACCUCUCUCGGAGGGCCUAAUGGGCUGUAGAGGAAAGGGGACCAGCCCUACAUGGGCAGGCCACAGCCCCCCCCCCCCUUGGGCCCAUGCGCCUAGGGUUGGGGGGGAAACCCUAAAGGGGGCGCCCCCCUUGCUUGGGGGGCAAGCCCCCUCCCCUUGGCCGCCCCCCCUCUAGAUCUCAUCUAGAGGGGGCCGGCCCCCUUCCUCCUUACCCUAUAAAUAGAGGGGCAAGGGGAGGGCUGCAUAGAACAUCCAAGGCGCAGCCCCUCCCCUCCCCAACACCUCUCCUCCUCCGUAAGAGCUUGGCGAAGCCCUGCCGGAGUACUGCAGCUUCACCACCACUACGUCGUCGUGCUGCUGUUGGAGUCCUCUUCCUCAACCUCUCCCUCCUCCUUGCUGGAUCAAGGCGCGGGAGACGUCCUCGCUCCGUACGUGUGUUGAAGGCGGAGGUGCCGUCCGUUCGGCGCUAGGAUCUUCUUUGAUUUGGAUCACGACGAGUACGACUCCAUCAACCCCGUUCUCUUGAACGCUUCCGCUCGUGAUCUACAAGGGUAUGUAGAUGCACUCCUCUCUCCUUCAUUGCUAGAUGACUCCAUAGAUUGAUCUUGGUGAUGCAUAGAAAAUUUUAAAAUUCUGCUUCGAUUCCCAACACUAGCAACUCCCGAGAGGUGGUCGACCCUCCUAGCUUUGUCCAGGAUGCCUGCCAGAGCGUCCACGGCGAGAUUGAAGAGUAGGGGGGUAUCGGAUCCCCUUGCUUCACUCCCGCAGAGGAUGAGAAGAACGGCCCCACAUCACCGUUAAUGUAAAUCGCAGUCUUGGCAGACCGUACCAACUGCAUAAUCCAGUUGCACCAUUUGUCCUCAAAGCCUCUGCGCUGCAUAACGAGCCGCAAGAAAUCCCAAUCUAGCCGAUCAUAGGCUUUCUGGAAAUCCAGCUUGAGGAAGACACUCUUUUGUCCACGCGAUCGUAACUCGUGCACAAUCUCAUGCAGGGACACAACCUCGUCAUGAAUUCGUCUCCCUUUCAAGAAGGCUGUCUGAAGUGGGUGGUUCAUCCUCUCGACUACCAGUCCGAGUCUAAUCGUGCAGACUUUAGAGAAGAUGCGCUCCAGGACGUUGAUAACUGUGAUAGGUCUGAAUUGGCGAAUGUCCGUCGCCCCCAACUACUUAUGGGAUCAGGGUGAUAACACCAAAAUUUAUACGCGCCAUGUCAAAUGUUCCGAUAUAGAAUUCAUGGAACAUUGGCAUGAUCACAGGUUUUAGGACGUUCCAGAAUUUCUGGAAGAAGGCAACCGGCAGGCCAUCCGGCCCCGGCGCCGACCCCGCCUUCAUCGAGGCGAUCGACCUCCCCACCUCCUCCGGCGAGAAUGGGAUAGCGAGAUCAGUGCAUACAUGCUGUUGCUCCGUGCUUGUCCUGCUAGUGCAUCCGUUUUGUUUAAUAUGCACCUUUUUGGACCUUUGUAUCCUUAUUACAGGGAGGGUCUGCGCUCACAGGCUGAUAUGUGCUUUUGGGUUACUAGUAUCUGGAAACCUGUAGUACCUUGAAGACAAUAACGCACGGGUCUAUCACAGCUCGGCUGCACCUGCUUCUGUGUUUGCCCCCCUCUCCUUUCGAUUUGCCCUCCUUUGUGUUACACUGAAUUUUGAUUGCCAUUCCUUUUGGCGUCCAUUCAAGGGAAAAUAUUUUCACUGCCAAAUAGAAUGUCGCAAGACAAAGUAACAUGUACGAGUCGAGACUGUAACUUCUAUAUGCUGCAAACCUGCUGCAAAACAUAAUUCGUAAAAUUCCGAGAGAACAAGCUGCGCAUAACACCAAUCAGGUAUAGUUUAUGAUCUCUCAAUAUGGUGCAGAAUUUGACUCCCUAAAAUUGUUGGAGCACAACAUCAUUAAGUGUCCAAAAUGUGUGACAUCUUAUGAUUCAAAGUUGAAGUGUUUCAUGGUUGCAACUUUUGCACUGUACAAUGGCAAUGUGUAAAACUUUUUGUGUACAUUCUGAGGAUCAGUAAUGGUCAUCCCUCUAAUUUUUUUUACAUGAACCAACACAUCGCUAAACUAUAUUGGAUGGAUUGAGAUUUCUGUUGGACAGGAAGUAAAAUUCUGUGGCAAAUUACAACAAGUUACCUACUGGGGAGCCGAGGUGGUAAUUUCGCUCCAAUCUGCUUCUGCUGUUCGGAGCAGAAAAUUCUUGUUGUAUCUGGGGUGUGGUGGCCUGACAGGAGGUGGACCCCUGUCGGGAUUGAGUUAUCCUCUUUUUCAGAAAAAAAACAUCAAAAAAUAUUACAUGCAGCAUGGUCAGAGAUGAGGUUAAUUAUACGCAACUCAAUGAAAAGGAAAACCAUAUUGACAAUGGGGAAUUACUGUCCAUUAAAAUACGACAGAACUCGGAAACAUUGCCUUGUUAUUUCUCAAAGUAUAGAAAUAAACUAUUUGUGAAAAGGAAGAGAAAUUAACUAUUUGUGAUUACCACCACCAAGGUUUUUAGUUUGGAAAAGAAAACAAUUUUGGAACUCAUCGAAAUAUGUGAAAUUUCAUAGAAAAUUUUAACCAUGACGGCCACUACGGCACUACCGGGUCACUGGAAUAACAAUAUCAAACACAGCACUUAAAAGAACAGUACGAAGUUGCGUGACUUGCGGCCAAUGGAAGGUGGCUGCCGAGAUCAGGGAGACGACUAAUAAUCAAGGCCCCACACAAAUUGAUUCUACCUCCUGGAUCCAUCUUUAAAAGGGAGGAGUCCCAUUCCUUGCCCAUUUCAUUUUCCUCUUGCCACAUGCAAUACUCACAAACACAACUUGUACGCCUGCACAUUUGAAAUCUCGAUUGUUUCUAGUCAUUCUGACUGGCAAAUUAAAAACGAUGAUUAAGUUGUCAGAAAAUAAUACUUGGAUGGCAUUUAUGUCUUGCCUCUCUACUUGUAGGAGCAGGAGGCAUCAGGAAGUUAGGGAGAUCCAAGCAACAAUAUGCCACAACUGAAAUGUCGCCCCCUUUGCAGCCCACUACUAGGAUACGUAGUGCUAAGAAAACAGCCUCUCUUUCCUGGCACAAGAUACUCUCACGUAGCCAAUACUAUGUAAGAGAGACAAUGCAAAGAAGUUUACUAAAUUGCAUUAGAUGACAAAUAUAUUUUAGCCCAUAUUUUUUGUGUAACUUGCUUCAAUUGGACGUUAGAAAAAAAAAUACAUCCAGAAUGAUGGUAGUACCAAUAUGUAACACUAGUUUCUUAUACUAGCUUAUACUUGGAUGUAUCUCUAGGUGAUUUUAGUAAUAUACCCAAACUAAACCUUUCAAACUAUUGCUUUGGGUCUAGCUCAUUUCCUCACUUAAUGGACACCUGGUGGUGAUUGCACAUACAUAUUUUUGGGUUGUCCAAAGUGUAAAUCUACUGAAAAUAACUGGCAACAUAAACAGUGACAUACUCCGGCCUGGUCUACAUAUGAUGGUAGUCACUUUAUAACAUGGUGAGUUAUAUCACUAUUAAGCGACAUUGAAGGAUCGAUCAACAUAUGCAAGUGACUUUUCUCCUUUCUGCUACAACUUAUUACAACAUCACUGGGUCUGUGUACCACAUGAUGGGUGACGUGGCUAACAUUAAGACCGCAGGCGUGACAAUACUUCUACAUCCUCUACUUUUAAAAGCUCAUCCUUUCACUUGCUGCUUUUCCAUUCUUCACUAACCUCCCCGACCCUCUUGCAUGCACUUGCUGACACACUAUGGUGAAACCUAAACGUAUAUCAGAAUGCAGUGGGGAUCAGCUCUAAAGCUUCAAUAGAAAAAUCGUAGUCAAUGUUGCUAGAAGCAUAUAGGAUUAGGAGGCAUCAGAAAAUUAGCAAGACAUGGUGGCAAUGCUCGGAAUUCUGGGAAUGCUAGCGCGGACGCUUCACCAUCUGUCGUACUAGUGAAAAAUUCCGGUGCCGUGGGGUCUGCAUGCCCCUCGUCUGCUGGCCGGUAGCAGCCUUUCUUGCUUUCGUAAUAUGGGUCCGAGUGAAAGAAAGAAGCUGCGGCGGCGUUGUUAUUUCUUUGGAUUAACGACUACUUCUGGUCGAUAAGGGUCGAUCGAGCCAGGUGUAAGGGCCCAGGGUGAAAAUUAUCCUAGACCAAGCAAAAACCCAAUUUAUGCUAUUUUGUCUAACUGUCCAUCAAAACCGUGUCAUUUAGUCAGACAAAAGGAAUGAUGUGCUACUGGAUCAAAGCCCCUGUGACAUUUUGCUCAAAGUAUAAACCGCUCCCUUCCGACCUGAAGACAUGAGAAUAAGUUGAGCAUGUUUAUACACAAUCUGUAAGUAGAUAUGUCCAUUGCAAAUCAAUUGAUGUAUUAUGUGAGGACUACUAUGUGACUUGUAGAUGUUUGCCAGAUUGGAACUUCUAUACGCUGCAAACCUGGCGCAGAACAAAUUCCAUGCAAUUCUUGGAGAACAAGCGACACAUAACAGCAAUCAGGUGUAAGUUUCUGAUGUUUCCAUAUGACUCCCUGCGGUUGUUCCAGUACAACAUCAUCAAGUGUUUAAAAAGGGUGCCAUCUUACAAAUUUUAAAGUGUUCCAUGGUUGCAACCUGUGCUGUCUCUUGCUUAAGGUUGAGUAAUGAUGGCAUUGCGUCUACUUUUUUACUUGGACCAAGACAUCGCAAAGCUUUGUUGGAUGCAAUGAGAUUUUUUUUGAACAAAAGAUUCUGUAGCAAAUCAGGCAACUUACCUACCUGGGGAGCGGAGUUUUUUAAGUUUGCUCGCAUCUGCUUCGGCCGGCGAGUGCAGAUGUUUCUGCUCUACCGUUUGGAGCAGAAACAUCUUGUCGUAUGUGGGAUUCUGGGACCGGAGUUGUCCUCUUUUUCAGAAGAAAAAAACACCAAAACAUAUUACAUGAACAUGAGGUUAGUUAUAGGCUUAUAGCAACUCAAUGAAAUAGAAAACCAUAUUGACAAUGGCAGUUACUGUCCAUUAAAAUAACAUAGAACUAGUUAACAUUGCUUGUUAUUUCUCGAAGUACAGAAAUAAAUAUUUGUAAAGCAUAGAACUAGGAAACCUUAUUGACAAUGGGCAAUUACUGUCCAUAACUUAAAUUCCAUUUUGUUUCUUUCAUAGGACAAGAAUUUCAUCUUUUCAAACAACUAGCUGUCUUGAGGCUUCAUGGCCGGGAACAGGAGGACCUCCUUUAUGUUCUGGGAAUCCGUCAGCAACAUGGUGAGGCGAUCAAUCCCCAGACCCCAGCCUCCGGUCGGCGGCAGGCCAUACUCAAGGGCAGUGCAGAAGGUUUCGUCCAUGGCCAUCGCUUCAUCGUCACCGUCCUGACGAUCCCUGAGCUGCUCCUCAAACCGCUCCCUCUGCACGACCGGGUCAUUCAGCUCCGUGUAGGCGUUGCACACCUCAUGCUUGUUGAUGACAGCUCAAACCUUUCAGUCAGUCCAGGCCGGGCUUCGUCCCUGUGUGACUUUGCGAGUGGGCUCAUGAUCACCGGAUGGUUGAUGAUGAACGUCGGGUUCACGCAUGUCUCCUCCAGGAAGUGCCCGACAAGCGUGUCCAGCAGCCGUGCCGUCGUGUGUGGAAGCGGGCACGUAAUGUCGUACCUGGCACAAGCCUCCAUCAAGUACUCGUUGGCAUCAUCGGUCGACAGAUCCUCCUCCGGUAUGUUGAGAUCGGCCAUGUCCUCCAGUCCCUUGAUCAUGUUGAUCCGCGCGAACGGAGGAGUAAAAUCGAUCUCGAUAGGCGGCUUGUCGGCGCCGUUGGCGUGGUACUGUACCUUGUAGCCGCCCGUGAGCUCCUUCACCAUGCCGCCCAGCAUCUCCUCCGUGAGCUCCAUCAGGUCGUUGUAGUCCGCAUAGGCCAUGUAGAACUCGCACGUCGUGAACUCGGGGUUGUGCGUCAUGUCGAUGCCUUCGUUCCUGAACUGCCUCCCGAUCUCGUACACGCGGUCCAGUCCGCCGAUGACGAGCUGCUUCAGGUAGAGCUCUGGCGCGAUGCGCAUGUACAACUUCAUGUUCAGGUCGUUGUGGUGCGUGACGAACGGCCUGGCGGCGGCGCCACCGGCAACCACGUUCAUCAUCGGGGUGUCCACCUCCAAAAACCCACGCUUGUCAAGGAAGCUCCGGAUGAAGGAGACGACUCUGGCUCGCGCCGUGAAGACGGACCUCACCUCAGGGUUCACCAUGAGAUCGAGGUACCGUCGGCGGUACCGUGUCUCCUGGUCCUUGAGGGCGUAGCUCUCCAUGUUCCUGGGCAUGCCGGGCGCCCACGGCAGCGGCGGCGCGCGCCGGUGCCUAUUAGGCUGCCGCGGCAGCAUGUGCAGGCAGGGCGAGAGCACGACAAACUGUGUAGGGAAUAUGCUGAGCUCGCCUCGGUUGCUUUUACCAGGGAACCCACGCACGUCGACCACGUCGCCAAGCUUCACGCCAGAGUGGAAAGCGGAGAAUUCCUCGGGAGUCUCCAGCUCCGAGGUCCCGGAGUCUGCCAUGACCUGGACCUUGGCGCCGCCGCGGUGGAGGUAGUAGAAGAGGAGGCUGGAGGACGACGUCCUCUUGCUCAUGAUCCUCCCGGCCAGGGACUCGGUGACGUCGACCAGCUUCUCCCCAUCGGCCAGGCCCCUGUACCUGUGGACGUAGUCGGCGACGGAGGCGGUGGGCUGGAAGGCGUGCGGGUAGGGGUUGACGCCGGCGGCCUUCUGCGCGGCGAGCGCGCCGAGCCUGUUGUGGUAGUACUGGGUGGGAUCCAUGCCGUCGUCCGCCAUGGCGCGUGGUGCAAAACUCUCUCCCGUACCGUAGUUGGGGAAAAACAGAGCGGAGACUUUGUUGACCUAGCACCGAUUUCGUGUUCUCGUCGGUUUAUUUAUAUCCAAAACAUUAACGUGCGCAUCAAAGGCGCCUCCUCACGCGUUCGCAUUCCUUGCGCGUUCACAUGUACGACAAAAAAAUGCAUCCAUCAGGCUCCCAUCGUCAUCGCUCAUCCCCGUCUUUACUGUGGCGAAGUAUAAAAAAAAUUCCAUCAGGCUCCCAUCGGCAUCGCUCAUCCCCGUCUUUACUGUGGGAGUGAAUUCCACUUUUUACCCCAUAUUUAUACAUUUGUGACACUAAUUACCCCUUCGAGUGAAAAUUCAUCUAGAAUACCCCUUUUAAAAUCUUUGGACCCUUGUUUUUUGAUGUGUGUCCAUCAGGUAAGGUGUGAGGUGACGCCCUGUAUCCAAAAACAUGUGGACGGCCACAAGGAGUGGAACAGAUAGACAAGAGAAGCUUGGACAAGAUCGCCAAUGAUGCCCUCCGAUCCUUACAGUUUUUUUUACAAAUCAAUGACGCAACAUGCCGAUCCUAUCGACCAUAAACAGACAAAAUGUAAAACUGGGGUAAAACCGUGUUAAAAGUCUCCAAAAUCUGACAUUUCGAUAAAAGUUCCGCUAAAUAGGGUAAUAUGUGUCACAAAUGUACAACUACAAGGUAAAAAAUGGAAUUCACUCUUACUGUGGCGAAGUAUAAAAAAACUAGCGAUGGAUCCCUUCCUUCCCUUGGAAGGUAACUUCUACUUUUCUUUCGCCCCACAUCGUCACAUCAGCUCUCGCACGCAACCUCCAAAGCCGCGGCCGCCGCCGUCUCAGCCAUUUCUCUCGUCUGCUCCUCCCCUUUCCCCUGCCCUAGCCUAUUUCUAGCCCUCCGCCUCUCCCUUUCUUCCUCGAGUACGGCAGCGGAAGGGGGGCCGCGACGGGAGAGAGGUUCUCCACCCCUGACAGACGACGUCACCGCCUCCGACCUCGGCCUCGUCUGCAGCAGCAGGACGGACCUCUGGCCGUGUUUCUCUGUCUCGCUGCUCAUCCUCCGGGAGGGGACUCGGAAGGAGGGUCGUGCUCCUGGUUGGGAUCUCCGUGCUCCCUCUCCUGCGCCUCCAUCUGCGUUCGAUCUCGUCACUGGUGAGUAGUGCUCUGCUCAGCGUGGGGAUGACCUAUGAGAUUCUUAGUUUGAAUUCUGAUGUGAAUGAGUAGUGCUGUGCUCAGCGUGGGGAUGACCUAUGAGAUUCUUAGUUUGAAAUCUGAUGUGAAUCUCCUAAAAACCGAUGCAAAUCUGUCUUGAGAACAUGACCUUCGAAUCACGGAACCUUGAGAUUUUCUGAAGCUUUAUUCCCAAGCCUGAAAAUGACUAGCUGGCUAGGUUAAUCAUCGCUCUAAGGAAAUCAAAAUCGUCUAUGGGAAUGGCCCCUCUGAAUGUUCUGAACCAUCCCUUGAUGCCGUCUCUAGGUCCGUCCAGGCCCUGCCGUCCACUUGCUGACUUCUUCUUGGCGCAAUGGGUUGAGUACGUUGGUCUGUGUUGGUCGCGAGUUUUGGUCUUGUUGUAGAGGUCUUCGGCAGCGGUUGUGACGCGGCUCGGUUGCUCUGUGGCUUGCCCAAUCGCCAUCGGCAUGAGGUUGGCCUAGGUGAAGCAAGUAUUGUAGUACGCGUGGUGGGUGUGUUUGGUGGAUGUGGAUGCUAAUUCCUGUGAUUGGCAUUGUAAUGGCCGAAAGGCAUUCUAUCCGGCUUCUUUGCCGCUUCUUCUUUAACAUAUGAUACGCAUGCUCAUGCGUAUUCGAGAAAAAUGUUCUGAACCAUCCCAACCCAUAUAAAGAAAAUGUGGGAGCGGGACGGCGGGAUCUGCUCCAGACGGUGCGGGACGCGCUACUGUCGCUCAUGCAGCAUAACGACGUCGACCUGAUCUUGUGGAGGGCGGGUGAAUUAUUUCUGUUCUUUAUUUUUUUCCCUAUUCUUAACAUUGGCAAACAAUCUCAGGAUUUCGCACAUGUGCAAUCUUCACACUCAAUAAUUUCUUGAUAUAGAGUCGAACCAGAACAUGUAUUAAGGGACCAUGACAUAUCUAGCAUCGGUAUCUGAAGAUGGCAAGAUCUGGUUAUGGCAUCUGACUUUUGAGAAGUCAGUAUCUUCCAAGAAAAUUAAUCCUGCUCGGCCUCUUCGCGUGGUUCGUUGAGUGCUGGGUCGUGCCAUUGUCUAACUGGGUGCCCCUCGCGGCCGCCGUCUGGGCGAUCAUUCAGGUAGCUGUUGUUUCUUUCCCCUGUGUUGGUCAGAUCAUAAAUGGAUUCAUAGUUCGUUUGAUGCCAUCUUACUUCUAGUAUAGCAUGUAUAAUGUCUUAUCUUGGGCAUUCACAUGAUACUUUGUAAUUUCUGAAAGAGAAACAGAGUGUGAACUAUAGCUUUUUAUUUGUUAGGAAAUUCUGAUAUGUUUUGUUUUGUUAAGUGCUAAUAAUGAUUUUGAAAGUGAGAUUAGCAGCAAACAACAUUUUAUCUAGGCCCCUAAUGGUUCUGUUUGUCUUCUUAGUUCUCACCCUUUUGUAUCCGUGAUGCAGUAUGGGGCUGUAGAAGAUUUGAACAAAAGAUGGAAGCACCAUAUACUGAACACAACAGUAAAGUAUGUGCUGUUUCCUUGCUCUAUUUACGUUAUUGUUUGUUUAUGGAGAUAGUCAUGCUCAUUUUACCUCUAUAGUACCUUACAACUCCAAUAAAGCCUUGGGAGGGGUUGAACAAACUUUUGAUUGAAGUUCGGCCCAACUACAUGGAACCGAAACUAUCAAGGAAGUUCCAAUCUACUGUCGAGGUGAGCUUCUGCCUGAAAUUAUAUUUCGUGCUUGGAUGCAACUUAGUAGUUGGUAGUUCAAAAGGUUUCGCAAAUAACAUUAGAUUAUACUAUAUGCAUUUGAUCCAUGGAAGUUGAUUAUGUAGAAUCAAAUCAUUUCAAAAUUCCUUUUGAUUUUGUUGAUUUGAGGUAGACAGUACACCUGCUGCAGUGGACUUCGUCGUCUCAUCGGCAUGCUCGCCCGCGACAGUACACCUGCUGCAGCUCCGGUGAGGCGCUGGAGCUCAUGGCGGCGCUCACGGCGGUGUACCUCAUACUGUACCUCAACUAACAUAUUGAUCUUCUACUUCUUUUCUCAUCAAACUGGGAAUCAUACUAUUCUCUUUCUGUCCAGUAAGCCCCACUAAUCACUACACUACUAGGAAAAGGCAUGCUAGUGGCGCACCGAAUUUGCCUUCUAAUGGCGCACUACCGGUGCGCCACUGGCAUCACGCCAUUAGAAUUAAAUUCUAAUGGCGCACCACCGGUGCGCCAUUAGUAUCUGGUGUUCUAAUGGCGCACCACGUAGUGUGCCAUUAGUAUAGCAUGCAGUGCGCCAUUAGAAUGCCUUCCAGGGGGCCAUAUGUACCCAUGUGCUUUGGCAUUCUAAUGGCGCACCAGCAGUUAAUGCGCCAUUAGUGUGAUGAUCACAGUGCACCAUUAGUGUCUUGUGUGGUGCAGCAUUAGUAUGAAUAUUAGGUUUUAUUUUUUUUGCUUUUCUUAUUUUUGCACAGGUUACAAAAUAUAUUAUUGGACAGAAUAUAGACAGCAGCACACAGCAACAUCAGAUUCAUCGAAUACAAUAGAAGAUUAGUCUCCGAAUACAAUUCAUCAUAUUAGUCUCUGAAUUCAAAAGACCGAACAAAGAUAAAACAUUACAAGUCUCAAGACCGCGAGUAUCGAGUUUGCCUUCACAUUACAAGUCGAUAUCGAUCAUCUAAACUACCAUCACAUAGAAGAGAGCUGUGGUCAUCACGAUGAGCAUCAUCGCGAUCAAACUGGUCUUCAUCCGGUUCCUCCAACGCUCCCUCCUCUCUCCCUCUAGAUAGCGGGCGUAUCUACAUUCGGCCUCCGCCCUAGUGGUGUACCCUUUGUAACUGUUACCGCUGAAACGGUGAACCUGUCUCCGACACUCCUCCCAGUCGUCGUAGACUCCGGGAACCUUACCCUUGUACAUGACAUACGACGACAUCUCUAUGCACAAGCCAAACAACAGACAAUACAUAAGCAAUAUGUAAGUAUGCAACAAAAGGAUCGGAAGAGAAAAGGAAGACAUUAAUAGCACGAUUCAUGGUCCUACUAAUAAAUAGCAUUGAUUACAUCUAAGUUGAACGACUGUCCAAACCAAAGAGACAUACGAAUUCAUUAAAGUAUAAUUACAACAUGAGUCAAUCAAUGUUUCAGAACUACACAUCACUACUUUCGACUCGACUCAUCGGACAGGAACGUGGAUGAAGCCGCCGUCUGUCGUGAUGGUCAUGAAAUCGCGGUCGUUGUCACCCUGCAUUUGUAGCAUUUCAUCUAUCUCACUGUUGGACGGUUGAUAUCUGAGGAAGAACUGCCCCGAGGUAUGAACGACAUCUUGAUCGAUGAUGUCCGCAAACUCCGACUGGAUGCGAAAGAAUUCUUAUCUGAGGUCCGCAUCCUGGACUGCCGACAAGCUCGCGGCCCAAUCUUUGAGAUUAUCUGGUAGCAGAAGUUGAUGAUGGUCCCUUACGAUCGCCCGCAUGUGAUGGAGGGUGUAGUAGGCAUCCUUCUGACCGCCAGGCGGCUGCUUGACGCAGCAGAACUUCGUAUUGUGUGAGAACAUGUGCUUGCCGUACUUACGAACUGCCCUGGUAAAGGUGCCUCCAGAUCUGGCGUAGGCGGGGAGAACAUCAUCAAGAACUUUCUUGACAUUUGUGUAGUCUAUCUUGGAGUUACGGUUCGGGUCUAAAUACGUGGCCAUGGAAUAUUUCGGGCUUAAGAGAAUGAGUGUGCAAUGUGUGUCACUGCACAGAACACGGAAUGUUAGAAAAAAACGAUCGAAAUAUAAGAAAUCAUAUGUUACGGGGCGGUUAAGGGAUGACUUACUUGGGAAAGUAAGCCACAAGGAAGUUAUCCUUAUCUGGGUUUGCCAGAAUGACGCCUUCGAGGUGUGAACUUGCAACUUGGCGGUCCCCAGCACUGCUCAAGUGCUUGGCACGCAUGUAGAAGGGGUCGACUAUCACGAUGUCUGGGGUCUUGUCUCUAAUGAUCCGCAUCUCCAUACUCAGCGAAAAUAGCCGAACGAAGGUGUAAUGCAGCGGAUGAAGGUUAAAAAUAGCAAAGAUUUCAUCAAACCACAGGACCCCCGAUGUCGCCAUCCACAAAGCCCUUGCCCUCUGGCACCUUGGCCACGAAAACCGGGUAUGCCACAUCCUUCUCUCUGAGACGCCGCUUCUCCAAAGAAAGAACACUGUCGUGCAGACUCCGCAUAGCACCGGUUGCAGCAUUCAGCAUAUUUGGCGGUAGCAUCGCCCUACCCGCCACAUGCACCCUCCUCGAGAUAUCCUUAGGUGAAGGUGGCCCGUCCUGAGCACGGAUCGAACUCGGUGCCGGCUGGCUCGCACCGGCGCCCUUGUUAGUCUUUCAUUUCCGUCCCUUCUUCUUGAUCUCCUGUAAUGGGACCGAGUUCUGCUCACAGACCGCCUUCUUGAGCAUGUUGGGGCUGAUAAUAUUUCACACCUCAGCUAUCUAAGGCUCGGUGAAGGCGGGAGCUGGAGGCGUGUCCUGAGAACUGAACGCCAGACGACGCUUGUUGCAAUUGGAUUUCUCCGCCGUACCAGCUAGAUCGCGGUCAUCUUGGUUGGGUUCUUGAGAAAGAAGCCCGCAGAACUCGUCAGCGUACCCAUGUUCGGCAAAGUACUUAUCAACUUUGGUAAAUGUACCGUCGUCGUUGUCGUCGCCGUCCGGAUCCUGUGCCAUAGGGCUGUCCGGAUCCUGUGCCAUAGGGAUGUCUGGCAGGUCCGGUAGCGUUGCGGCGUUCUCGCCAUGGCUUGGCGCCGGCACGACUGGCGGUCUUGUCUGUGGGGUGGUGUCCCCCGCCCCCAAACGAAUCUGGCUCUUCGGCCAAAGCAGGGGCCAGUUUACGCAGGUGCUGAGGGUCAUCUCAUCUUCUUCGUCGGCCCCAGCGGGUCGGAUCGGAGGUAACAGCUCGUCGCAGCCUGGCAGCACCCGAACCACUUCAACCCUAUAGAUUGUGGGUUGCAUCGGAUUACCGUGGAACGUGGGGUUGCCCGGUUGAACGAUUCUGCCCUUGGCGACAUCGACCAACUCGGCGCCCAUGAAGUGCAGAAGAGUGCAAGGAACGUCGGCGGUGCCCUGCGAAAACAUGUACAGGGCAUCAGGGAUGUCAAGUCAAAGGCAAGGAGAUGAAGUCAUCAGCCGAGAGGCUUAGUUACCGUGAUGCCGUCGAGCUCGGCUAAUGUCGAGGCACCGCCAACGGCGGGCGUGCAACUGACGGAGGGGGCACUUGCUGGCGAGGUGCUGGCCGGCGUACACCCGGGUGCAUUAAGCUCCAAUGCCCAUGCCGGCGCCGGAGACACGAAUACCGCCUCCGCCGAAGACACCAAUGGAGCCGCCUGCGCGCUGUGCGAGUUGCUGGCCGUGAAGCUGGGAACCGGGGGAGGCCCCUGUUGGCUGCCCGCAAUCCACGCCGUCAGCCCAUGAAUCAACGUAGGCACCAUGGCGUUGAGCGUCGUCCCAAGUUGUUGUUGCACUUGCUCUUGGACAAGCUCCGGAAUCCGCGCCACUUGUGCCUUGAGUUCUUCAACCUCGCGCGUCUGGCUUUCCGAGCUGGUCUUUUUCUCCUUCCGCACACCGGCGGUAUAGUAUGACCCCCAUUUUGUGGACAAGCCUUUGCCGGCCACACGACCAACUGACGUCGGCUUAGUGAGCUUAUCCUUAUUUUUCAUUACGAUCAGCGCCCUAUUUAAAGGGGUGUCGAAAGGGGAGCUCUUAGACGAACCCGCGCUACUGCUUUCAGUGUCCUGCGAAAGGAAUGUGAACCAUUUAAAAAUAUUGGGGAUUAAUUAGAGUGCAACCAUAUUGGGGACUCGGAAGGAGGGUCGUGCUCCUGGUUGGGAUCUCCGUGCUCCCUCUCCUGUGCCUCCAUCUGCGUUCGAUCUCGUCACUGGUGAGUAGUGCUCUGCUCAGUGUGGGGAUGACCUAUGAGAUUCUUAAUUUGAAUUCUGAUGUGAAUGAGUAGUGUUGUGCUCAGCGUGGGGAUGACCUAUGAGAUUCUUAGUUUGAAAUCUGAUGUGAAUCUCCUAAAAACCGAUGCAAAUCUGUCUUGAGAACAUAACCUUUGAAUCACGGAACCUUGAGAUUUUCUGAAGCUUUAUUCCCAAGCCUGAAAAUGACUAGCUGGCUAGGUUAAUCAUCGCUCUGAGGAAAUCAAAAUCGUCUGUGGGAAUGGCCCCUCUGAAUGUUCUGAACCAUCCCUUGAUGCCGUCUCUAGGUCCGUCCAGGCCCUGCCGUCCACUUGCUGACUUCUUCUUGGCGCAAUGGGUUGAGUACGUUGGUCUGUGUUGGUCGCGAGUUUUGGUAUUGUUGUAGAGGUCUUCGGCAGCGGUUGUGACGCGGCUCGGUUGCUCUGUGGCUUGCCCAAUCGCCAUCGGCAUGAGGUUGGCCUAGGUGAAGCAAGUAUUGUAGUACGCGUGGUGGGUGUGUUUGGUGGAUGUGGAUGCUAAUUCCUGUGAUUGGCAUUGUAAUGGCCGAAAGGCAUUCUAUCCGGCUUCUUUGCCGCUUCUUCUUUAAUAUAUGAUACGCAUGCUCAUGCGUAUUCGAGAAAAAUGUUCUGAACCAUCCCUACCCAUAUAAAGAAAAUGUGGGAGCGGGACGGCGGGAUCUGCUCUAGGCGGUGCGGGACGCGCUACUGUCGCUCAUGCAGCAGAACGGCGUCGACCUGAUCUUGUGGAGAGUGGGUGAAUUAUUUCUGUUCUUUAUUUUUUUCCCUAUUCUUAACAUUGGCAAACAAUCUCAGGAUUCCGCACAUGUGCAAUCUUCACAAUCAAUAAUUCCUUGAUAUAGAGUCGAACCAGAACAUGUAUUAAGGGACCAUGACAUAUCUAGGAUCGGUAUCUGAAGAUGGCAAGAUCUGGUCAUGGCAUCUGACUUUUGACAAGUCAGUAUCUUCCAAGAAAAUUAAUCCUUCUCGGCCUCUUCGCGUGGUUCGUUGAGUGCUGGGCCGUGCCAUUGUCUAACUGGGUGCCCCUCGCGGCCGCCGUCUGGGCGAUCAUUCAGGUAGCUGUUGUUUCUUUCCCCUGUGUUGGUCAGAUCAUAAAUGGAUUCAUAGUUCGUUUGAUGCCAUCUUACUUUUAGUAUAGCAUGUAUAAUGUCUUAUCUUGGGCAUUCACAUGAUACUUUGUAAUUUCUGAAAGAGAAACAGAGUGUGAACUAUAGCUUUUUAUUUGUUAGGAAAUUCUGAUAUGUUUUGUUUUGUUAAGUGCUAAUAAUGAUUUUGAAAGUGAGAUUAGCAGCAAACAACAUUUUAUCUAGGCCCCUAAUGGUUCUGUUUGUCUUCUUAGUUCUCACCCUUUUGUAUCCGUGAUGCAGUAUGGGGCUGUAGAAGAUUUGAACAAAAGAUGGAAGCACCAUAUACUGAACACAACAGUACAGUAUGUGUUGUUUCCUUGCUCUAUUUACGUUAUUGUUUGUUUAUGGAGAUAGUCAUGCUCAUUUUACCUCUAUAGUACCUUACAACUCCAAUAAAGCCUUGGGAGGGGUUGAACAAACUUUUGAUUGAAGUUCGGCCCAACUACAUGGAACCGAAACUAUCAAGGAAGUUCCAAUCUACUGUCGAGGUGAGCUUCUGCCUGAAAUUAUAUUUCGUGCUUGGAUGCAACUUAGUAGUUGGUAGUUCAAAAGGUUUCGCAAAUAACAUUAGAUUAUACUAUAUGCAUUUGAUCCAUGGAAGUUGAUUAUGUAGAAUCAAAUCAUUUCAAAAUUCCUUUUGAUUUUGUUGAUUUGAGGUAGACAGUACACCUGCUGCAGUGGACUUUGUCGUCUCAUCGGCAUGCUCGCCCGCGACAGUACACCUGCUGCAGCUCCGGUGAGACGCUGGAGCUCAUGGCGGCGCUCACGGCGGUGUACCUCAUACUGUACCUCAACUAACAUAUUGAUCUUCUACUUCUUUUCUGAUCAUACUGGGAAUCAUACUAUUCUCUUUCUGUCCAGUAAGCCCCACUAAUCACUUCUCAUUACUCUUUCUAUCCAACGUGGCAUGUGAGAGCGGAGGAUAGAGGUUGCCACGAAAUACCCAACCAAUGCACUUGUCGAUCGUCUUGCUCUUAUUAGGUAGUCGUUUCAAUGAAAGUAUAUCUGCCGCCUGUUCAUUUUUCAAUUCACUUUCAAUAGACAGUUUGCAUUAUUUGUUUUAUUUGUGGGAGUUGAAGCAAAGAAUUUGUUAUGUUUCCUUAUGCUGUGAAUCUGAAGUGUUUCUUGCUAACUAAGAACCCUGCACAGCUAGAUGCUGCACUGUCGGCCCUCAAUCCUUGGAUAUUGGGAAGUUUGAAGAAGCAUGUGGUGUAGGUAUGUUUUGCAAUCAAUAUAUAUAUUUACAUGCUUCUGCAAAUUAUAAAUCAUGUAUCCGCAUGUGGUGUAGGUAUGAUUUGAUAAUGUGGUUGUUUGGAUGCAAAAAGAAUAAUAAAUCGAUGCACAUUUUUUAUGAUCAGACGUGGAACGGCCAAUGUUUUGUAAUGGAGUAGCAUCAUUAAUGCCCAAUUGGACCUUUUUUUUGNNNNNNNNNNNNNNNNNNNNNNNNNNNNNNNNNNNNNNNNNNNNNNNNNNNNNNNNNNNNNNNNNNNNNNNNNNNNNNNNNNNNNNNNNNNNNNNNNNNNNNNNNNNNNNNNNNNNNNNNNNNNNNNNNNNNNNNNNNNNNNNNNNNNNNNNNNNNNNNNNNNNNNNNNNNNNNNNNNNNNNNNNNNNNNNNNNNNNNNNNNNNNNNNNNNNNNNNNNNNNNNNNNNNNNNNNNNNNNNNNNNNNNNNNNNNNNNNNNNNNNNNNNNNNNNNNNNNNNNNNNNNNNNNNNNNNNNNNNNNNNNNNNNNNNNNNNNNNNNNNNNNNNNNNNNNNNNNNNNNNNNNNNNNNNNNNNNNNNNNNNCAACUAUUAGUGAAUUGUCCUGCCUGUGAAUCCAAUGGAUUGUACAGUGGACCUACGACAUUGUACUAUAAUUGUUCUCGGAAUGUUCUAAAUGUUUGGUGCUUGAUAAAUAUAAAACUUCUAGGCCCUUUCCGAAUAAAUUUCAGUAGUCAACAGUGUAAGUGUUCUAAAAAAAGUCAGAGGACCAACCGAUGGCCUAAAGUUACAUAUAAUCAACAUUUCAUGUUCUCUAUUACAAUAACAGUGUUUAAAGAAAUAGUAAUACUAGAGUUGGAAAGCAUAAUGCCCAAACACUGUUCGUUCUGCUAUAUGUCCCUUCUUUCAGUCAUAAGGUUUAUACAUGUAUUGAUUUAACAAGAUUAGAUUCACAGUUAGUUCUAAUGGUGUGACAUGGAUUGUGUUUGUGAUCUUCCAGUUUUCCUGUUUCUUCCAUGCAUGUGAAGGACUCAUAUCUUACAACCUGAAAACUGAAUGUACGUCGUACAAAGGCAGCUUGGCAGUUGUGGCGCUCUUAUAUAGUAAAAAUGUUAUUUGGUGAAAAGAAACAUAGCCUGUGCAGUAAUAAAAAUAAAUACGCUGAUCCACUUCAUUUCUGAGAUAAAUGAUUAGUGUUCAGAUAUAAGAGGAGAUCAUUUGAAUUCGUCUAUUGCAGCUACAAAUCAAUGAACAAUUUCAAAAAUGGAGCUGCACUAUUGUUUAGUAUUAGCCUUCACAAUCUUUUCUUAGACAACGUUUGAUUCUGCAACACAACUCCACGCUGUGACAAGCAUUUCACCAAUGAACACGUUUUACAAAAAAUAUCACCGGCCAAGCUUUAUUGAUUAGGGUUUAGCAUAACCGGAACACAAAGAACUUUAAAAUUGUGAAAUCCAACGUAUUCUGCAGCGGGCGUUCUGGACGGCAAGGUGAUUGUUGAGGCCUCAUAUGGAGGCAUGACCUUGCUGUUCAAUUUGCAGAUGGUGCCCACCGACGCUGCUACCUCCGGAAGGUCGCAGAGGAGGCCACCCGAGCUGGACGACGCACUACCAGAAUAACGGCCGCUGCCGACGGCCUUCUCUACGCCGACGGCUCCCAUCGGCAUAGAUGGUGGUAUGCCGACGGCCGCGGAAAGACCGUAGGCGUACUAAAGACGUCGGCAAACCUCCAUAUAUGCCGACGGGGGCCGUCGGCGUAGGAAGGCCGUCGGCGUAUAUUCCACUAUGCCGACGGGGGCUGUCGGCAUAGAGCCGCCGUUGGCACACAGGUGGGUCCGCCGACCCAGGUCCAAUCGGAGGGUCGACGCCGUCACCUCUAUGCCGACGGCCUUGACGGAGGCCGUCGGCAUAGCUUGUACAUUUUUUUUAUUCGGCAAAAAAUCACGUGGGCUUUCUAUGCCGACGGGGAUACCAUCGACAUAUAUAUUAUAUGUUUUUUAUUUCUCAUUUUGCAUUUUUUUAUUAAACUUUAGAUUUGAUUAAUUUAAAUCUAAUUUAUAUAAACUUAAACAUACACAAAUUAUAUAUGAAAUUGGGGCAGAAUUUUCCAUGGAUUAUGAAUAUCCUGUUUGUUUUUACUUUUGAUUAUUUUGAAAUUUAACUUCAUGUAAUUUUGCAUAUAGGUCCUUAUACUUAGUAAAAAUCACAAGUAAUUGAUACUUCACUAGAUUUGGAUAACUUUUAAAUGAUUUUCUUAUCAUAAUCUCGCACCGGGACAUGAUGCGUGUGUGAAUGUGUUGUGACAUGCGUAGACGCCCUUCUUGGGCUUCGAGGUGUGCCCCCCUCCCCCCCUUCACGGACGGCAGUGCCGCCAUCACUUUGAGUGGGAAUCGUGCGCGUCGGGUAGAACCGGAGGGAAUCUAGUGGUGGGUUGGGUCCAGGCCAUGUUCGGGGAUGUUUCUAUGGGCUGACCUAUCGCAACCAGUGGAAGAGUCCACUAGUCAAAGACCGCCAGGAGAAAGUCAAAGGCCUAGAUCUCCUGGUCAACGAGGCUAGGGUUAGUCCGGUCAGUGGGGCUUCGAGGUGUAGCUAUGCCACCGAAACACCGUACCGGGUCCCGAUGCGUGUGUGAAAGUGAUGUGGCAUGCAUAGACGCCCGUCUUGGGUCUUCGAGGUGUUGCCCCCCUCCAUGGACGGCUGUCCCGCCGUCACUUGGAGGGGGAAUCAUGCGUGUCGGGUAGAACCGGAGGGAAUCUAUCAGUUGGGGAGGUCCAGGCCGUGUUCGGGGAUGUUCCUAUGGGAUGACUAUCAGGGCCAUCUCCAAAAAUUUGGGGCCCCGGGGCAAAAAUCAAAAUAGGACCCUAAAUUUACAUUAGGGUCGAACUAAAUAAUCACAAAAUACAUAUAUGAUGAUUUUCCAACAACCAAAAAAAUCAAGGACUACUGAGUUCAAACUUAAUUGUGUCCUAAAUCUAGCCUCGUUCGGCACUUCCCACCUAACCUAAUCAAAACAAAUGAACUUAUUACCUGAUAGUGGAAGACCAGAGGUGAUGGCGCUCGUAAUUGACAGGCCGUGGGCGAUCGACGGAUGCCGAAGCAGGCAGGCAUUCAGGUAGAUCUGGCACCGUAGUCUCUGGUGGGCGAUCGGAGGAAGCAAAACCAACGGGCGUUGUUGGGGCCUGUUAGCAAUCAGUGCACUAUGGCAGAAAAACGAUCGAUUGAUCGAUUCUCUAGACCUCAUGGGCCUGUUAUACAUGCUGUUUUGGGCGAAAGGCUCAUGAGCUUUAUUUUUCCUGAUUUUAAACCUACAGCUAAUAGACUAAUACUUAGUGAUUAGGGGCCCCAAAUAUUUGGGGGCCCUGGGCGGUCACCCACCUCGGCCCCCUCCAUCGACGGCCCUGAUGACUAUUCACAACCAGUUGGAAGAGUCCACUGGUCAAAGCCCAUCCGGCGAAAGUCAAAGGCCUAGAUCUCCUGGCCAAGGGGCUUCGUGGUGGCCUUCCGGUUGUGGCAAUGCCACCAAAAUAGCGCACGCGGUCUUGAUGCAUGUGUGAAAGUGACGUGGCAUCCAUAGACGCCCAUCUUGGGUCUCCGGGGUGUUGCCCCCUCCACGGAUNNNNNNNNNNNNNNNNNNNNNNNNNNNNNNNNNNNNNNNNNNNNNNNNNNNNNNNNNNNNNNNNNNNNNNNNNNNNNNNNNNNNNNNNNNNNNNNNNNNNNNNNNNNNNNNNNNNNNNNNNNNNNNNNNNNNNNNNNNNNNNNNNNNNNNNNNNNNNNNNNNNNNNNNNNNNNNNNNNNNNNNNNNNNNNNNNNNNNNNNNNNNNNNNNNNNNNNNNNNNNNNNNNNNNNNNNNNNNNNNNNNNNNNNNNNNNNNNNNNNNNNNNNNNNNNNNNNNNNNNNNNNNNNNNNNNNNNNNNNNNNNNNNNNNNNNNNNNNNNNNNNNNNNNNNNNNNNNNNNNNNNNNNNNNNNNNNNNNNNNNNNNNNNNNNNNNNNNNNNNNNNNNNNNNNNNNNNNNNNUAGGCCGUGUUCGUGGAUGUUCCUAUGGGCUGACCUAUGGCAACCAGGUGGAAGAGUCCACUGGUCAAAGCCCGUCCGACGAAAGUCAAAGGCCUAGAUCUCCUGGUCAAUGGGAAUAGGGUUAGUCCUGUCGGUAGGGCUUCAAGGUGUAGCAAUGCCAUCGAAACACCGUACCGUGUCCCAAUGCAUGUGUGAAAGUGAUGUGGCAUGUGUAGACGCCCUUCUUGGGUGUCCGGGGUGUUGCCCCCCUUCACGGACGGCAAUGCCACCGUCGCUUGGAGGGGGGAUCGUGCGUGUUGGGUAUAGAACCGGAUGCAAUAAAUGUCUCAAAUAUUCCAGGCGGGCCCGAAAAAUGCCAUGUCUUGGCACAUGUCAUGUAAUGCCCCCCUUUGAGAGAAAGACAAGUUUCGAGGUCAAUGGAGCAACGGGUAGCACACUUCCUUCACAAACCGGACACAUUCCCUCUUGAUAGCCAGAUACUACCACUACAGGAAACAGGUAAUUUGCCGUCUGUGGAUCACAGACGGCAAAGACCCAAAUCCAGACGGCAAAGAUUUUGCCAUCAGGAAGCAGACGGCAAACUCAGACGGCAAAGAAUACUUUGCCGUCUUCCUUUUAUCGAGAUGACGGCAAAGAAUUUGUCGUCAGUCAAUUCGGUUUUGCCGUCUGUCGCAAAAAUAACAGACUGCAAAAAAUGUGUUCUUUGCCAUCAGUCAAAACAUGUGCUUUGCCGUCAUCCAGACUAAAGUACAGACGACAAAGAUUGUUUUUCAUUUUUUUUAAAGUGACAUCCUAGCAGAGCAUCUCACCGGAACCAGGAACAAAAAACCAAAACAGGUUACAGAGAAGUUACAAGAGCUGUCCUAAAAUUUACAGAGAAGUUACAAUGGAUUCAGCACGGCCUUGUUGUCUUGCAAUCAUCGUUGGUGGUUACAGAGAAGUUACAAGAGUUGUCCUAAAAUUUACCCAAGGACCCCUAGAAACUAAAAAUGAAAAUCAAUCAAGUCCUCCAUGUCCUCCAUCACAGCAACAUGUACUUCACCACCGGCCUUCCUUCUUCUCGCCAUGUGCUCGCUGGAUCCUGGAGAGAGAGGGGGGGCACUGUUGCGCGCCAGUGCAGCGUCGGGCGGCUGAUGCCGGAGGGAGGAGGCCACCGCGCGGAGGAGGGAGGACGCCGCCGCGCGCCCGAGGGAGGAGGUCGCCGCGCGCCGAAGGGACGAGCCGCCGCGCGCCCGAGGGACGAGGCCGCCACGCGCCCGAGGGAGGAGGACGCCGCGCACCGGAGGGAGGAGGCCGCCGCGCGCUGGAGGGAGGAGGCUGCCGUGCAGAGGAGGGAGGACGCCGCCGCGCGCCGGAGGGAGGAGGCCGCCGCGCGCCGGAGGGAGGAGGCCGCCGCGCGCCGGAGGGAGGAGGCCGCCGCGCGCCCGAGGGACGAGGCCGCCACGCGCCCGAGGGAGGAGGACGCCGCGCACCGGAGGGAGGAGGCCGCCGCGCGCUGGAGGGAGGAGGCCGCCGUGCGCCUGUGCUCGCCACCCGCGGGUCCGCCAUGCUCGCUGCCCGCGCGGCUGGGGGCAGGCAGGAGCGACGGGGGCUGGGGACGAAGGUAGGCAGGGGCGACGGAUGAUGAGCCGAGGCCAGCGGCCGGUGGCGGCGACGGGGGACUCGCGCCGGGGGCCGGUGGGGGCGACGGGGGACUCGCGCCGGGGCCGGCAGGGGUGAUGGGGUCGGGGACGGCGAGGCAGAGGCCAGGAGGAGAGAUGGCCACGGGUCGUGCGAGGCAGAGGUGUUGGGGCGUGGGGGAGAGAGACGUGGGAAUAGUGGUGGGGCGUGGGGUGUCGGAUGGAUAAGGUGGAGAGAGGGCGUGGGACGUGGGGCUGGUGGGUUUUGCUUGGUGGGGAUGUGCGGAGCAGAUUUAGCCAUGUCAGCGAUCCGCGUGAUCCAUCCGUGGACUUGUGUUUUCUCUUUGCCGUAUGUGGUUCUAUUUACAGACGGCAAAGUUCUUUGUCGUCUGCAUUUUAUAUUAAAGACGGCAAAAUGAGCUCUUUGCCAUAUAUAAUAAAAAAGGCAGACUGCAAAGCUCUUUGCCGUCUGUAUUUAUUGUUACAGACGGCAAAGUUUACUCUUUGUCGUUUGUAAUAUAAAAGGCAGACGGCAAAGUCUAUUUUGCCGUUACUUUUUCUUUGCCGUCUGUUAAUGACGGCAAACCCUUUCUUUGCCGUCUGCCCCGACGAAAUGCUGACGGCAAAGAAAUUACUGACGGCAAAUCUCCUGUUUCCCGUAGUGUACCUAGGAGAUGGUGCAAUCUACAAGUGGCUUUCGGUCAGGCUUCUACGAAACACACUCAAACUUUUACUUGACCCUACAAGGAACAUAUGAACAUCGUCCCAGGUCCUGAGGAUUUCAGACAUUGUAUGUUUUCUGUGGAUUUUAACGGCUAGAUCCGGCAUGCCGCCGAGGUACAUUCGCCCCCCGGUGGUGGGCCCAUCCCCUCCUUUUGUUGCACUAGGUAUACACAUUCCGAAAAGACAUCAUAUACGAUUGUACAAACCACUUUUCGACAUCAUUUUAGGUGGCCGCCAUGCAUAUCUGUAAUUUCCCGCAUUGAAACCCUACGGAUGCAAUAAAUGUCUCAAAUAUUCCAAGCGGGCCUGAAAAUGCCAUGUCCUGGCACAUGUCAUGUAAUACNNNNNNNNNNNNNNNNNNNNNNNNNNNNNNNNNNNNNNNNNNNNNNNNNNNNNNNNNNNNNNNNNNNNNNNNNNNNNNNNNNNNNNNNNNNNNNNNNNNNNNNNNNNNNNNNNNNNNNNNNNNNNNNNNNNNNNNNNNNNNNNNNNNNNNNNNNNNNNNNNNNNNNNNNNNNNNNNNNNNNNNNNNNNNNNNNNNNNNNNNNNNNNNNNNNNNNNNNNNNNNNNNNNNNNNNNNNNNNNNNNNNNNNNNNNNNNNNNNNNNNNNNNNNNNNNNNNNNNNNNNNNNNNNNNNNNNNNNNNNNNNNNNNNNNNNNNNNNNNNNNNNNNNNNNNNAGCUAGAUACUACCUCGAAGAUGGUGCAAUUUACAAAGGGCCUCCGGUCAGCCUUUUGCGAAACGCGCUCAGAUUUUUACCACACCCUACAAGGGCUAUAUGGUGACACCAUGCCCGGUCCCGAGGAUUUCCAGUGCCGUAUGAUUUUCCGUGGAUUUUAAUGGUUAGAUCCAGCAACAAGUAUUCAGUAGGGUUUUCACACAAAAAAAUAAUCUUUUUCGGCAAUCAGAAAUUGAAAACUAAAUUUUGCUUGAAAAUAAAAUGAAAACUCCCUUCAUCAAAAUUGUUUUCCAUUCUAAGAUGCACACUUAUACACAAUAUGAUAUCACUAUAACUAUGCCAUGAAUUAGGCCAUAACAUUCGUCAUUUUGCGGAUGUUUUUAUUUAUUUUUAAAUGCAAACAAGGUGUAAAUAAAUAUGAAAUUUUCCAUGGUAUUGGUUUCUUAUUCCUAGAAGAUUUGGAUUUUUUUUAUUUUUUACUAAAUUUUAACAUGAGUAUUUCCUGUUCAAAAAACUGUGCAAAGAAACACAAAAUCUGUGCUGGCUUCCUAUUGGUUGGAAGCAACCUCCCAAGGAUCGGUGACGUGGCAGGGCAGCCUACCCCACCACGACACCAGCCCCACCUCUCCCUCCUUGCCACCUCUCUCCUUCCUCUCUCUCUCGUCUCUCCCUACCCCCGCCGCCGCUGCCUACGCCGCACGAUUCCGGCGUGUUCCGGCGAGCCUCGCCAACGCGCAGCACAGAUCCGAGCCCCCUGCCUCCGCUCUUCCCUUCCCUCCGGCCAGAUGCGCCUCUCGUGGCCCCGAGAGCUCAGCCACGACCCCUUCCGAUGGCUAGGGUUCCGAGGGUGGCGUCCCCUCCAACUCCGGCGCGGCGACGGCGACUCUGCUCCGCCCUCUCCGAAGCCCACCGCAAGUCCCAUGGGCGUCUCCGCCUCGUGGAUGGUACUCCUGCACCCGGUGGCUGCGGGGCGGACGCGCGCAGCGGGUAAACUCCGGCGAGGCGGUGCCUCCCUCCGGCGGCUCCCUCCAUGGCAUGACGGCGGUGCACUGCAUCGGCUAAAGCACCACCAUGGUGAGCCCCUCUCCAUCCUAUGUUCCCUCCGGUUGCUGCCAUGCACAUGACGUGUAUUUUUCUAACUGUACAAUAACACUUACUCCUCUACUGUCACAUACUAGAUGAUUGCUACUAGACUAAUAGAUUAGCCUUGAAUUCAUCUAGUUUGGAUCAAAACAGAACCAUUGAUUAAUACUAGAUGAUUUUUACUGUAAAUUUUGUUACAGAUUUCUUUGAACUAGUUUGAUUCCCUGUUGAUCUAUAUUUUUUACUUAUUCACAUGCUGGACUGAAUUUGCUACUGCUGUUACUCUAGUGUUGAACGAGAUAGGCAUUCUAUUGCUUGUUUCCUUGCUUCCACAAAUUAAAAUUCAGUAAUCUUGUUAACUGCUACCGUUGUCACGAACCACACAUCUGAGAUGAACUUGACAUUGAUUUGCUCCUUUGUCAAGUAUGGAUAGACUUUGCUAUUCACCAGUAUUCAGGCAGUUGAUGUGUGCGUGUUGCUGCAACUGUUAGGACAUUGUUGGAUUGUUAUCACUAGUACUAGUCCUAUCAAAUUGCAUGUGAGUAGUUCAUUACCAUGCUAUCCAGGGGAUAUUCCUUUUUGUGCCUGUGAAUUCGUUCUUGUUGUGUAUAUAUGUAUAUGUGCUAGCAACAUGAGUAGGAUUUAGCAUCAUGCUGGGCCUGGAUGAAUUGCAUGCAUACAUUGAUCCUGGGAGAAGUGUCUGGCUGAUACAAUCCUCUUUUUUACAAAGCUAUUAUAUACUUUGGGAAAUAUAGUAGUUUGUUAUUUACUGCCUGCACUGCAAGUAUGGAUGCUCAUGAUUGCAUGCAUCCAGGGUGAGUCGUACCUAGUUGUUCUUUAUGCAUCUCCAAGUUACUAUUGAAAAAGCUCGCAUAACUAGUUGUUUCUUUUCAGAUUAAACCUGAGACCUCUUUUGUUUUAUCUUGAGAGCUAUGACUGACGGCCAAACCGUUGUUUUUCUGUGCUAGACUCACUCCACAGCUUUGUUUUGUUUUGUGCCACCUGAUCAUUAUGCCAUCCUAUUGAUAUUGAUGCAAUGGAAUUUAUAGUUUUGCUGUCCCCUGAGCUGAGAUGCUUAUCUAGUGUUUAUGGCUUAGUAACUGUCCUCUGAAUUUGAAAUUAUACUAGUAUUGCUCUACACUCAGCAGCUAGCUCUGUUUUGUGGCACCUGUUACUUAUGCCACGGUAUUGUUUCAAUGGAAUCAGUACAAUUUCUUUGCACAUUGGGAUUGCUCUGUUUGCUUCAUAUUAUGGUGUUAAUGUCUUACUAGCUAAUUGUGGCGGCCGUCUGGAUUGUCGCUCAUAGUAUUGCUGGUGGUGGUGCUGUUGUGUAGGUUGACAAAAAUGCUCUGCAUCUUGAGAAGCAAAUAUCUUAAAACUUUGACUUGGAUCUCGACGGCGACGGCAUCCAACGAACACAAGGUCGCUCCCAACCAACAAGUUUUUUUUCUUCCAAGUUAAUAAUGUGGAUUGUGACGUUUAUCUGUGCACUGAUUUUCAGAGUGGAUGGCUGUACCAUUUAAUUUUGAUUACUAGCACUAGUAGUUGUAUUCAGUGUGAGCUGGAAGACUAACUGAUUCAGUUUUCGAAGCCAUCUUUGCUGUUCUGGUUGUGUUUGCACAGCUCACUUGUUGUCAGUGCAGUUCUCUUACACAUAUUUGUUUGUUGGGGUUUAAUUUCUAGAAUC
rnacentral:lncRNA from 1 species